UGAGACGGAGUCUCGCUCUGUCGCCCAGGCUGGAGUGCAGUGGCGGGAUCUCGGCUCACUGCAAGCUCCGCCCCCCGGGUUCACGCCAUUCUCCUGCCUCAGCCUCCGGAGUAGCUGGGACUACAGGCACCCGCCACCAUGCCUGGCUAAUUUUUUGUAUUUUUAGUAGAGACGGGGUUUCACCAUGUUAGCCAGGAUGGUCUCGAUCUCCUGACCUC
rnacentral:lncRNA from 1 species